rnacentral:rRNA from 1 species
AGUGAACGCUGGCGGUAGGCCUAACACAUGCAAGUCGAACGGCAGCACAGUAAGAGCUUGCUCUUACGGGUGGCGAGUGGCGGACGGGUGAGGAAUACAUCGGAAUCUACUUUUUCGUGGGGGAUAACGUAGGGAAACUUACGCUAAUACCGCAUACGACCUACGGGUGAAAGCAGGGGAUCUUCGGACCUUGCGCGAUUGAAUGAGCCGAUGUCGGAUUAGCUAGUUGGCGGGGUAAAGGCCCACCAAGGCGACGAUCCGUAGCUGGUCUGAGAGGAUGAUCAGCCACACUGGAACUGAAACACGGUCCAGACUCCUACGGGAGGCAGCAGUGGGGAAUAUUGGACAACGGGCGCAAGCCUGAUCCAGCCAUACCGCGUGGGUGAAGAAGGCCUUCGGGUUGUAAAGCCCUUUUGUUGGGAAAGAAAAGCAGCAGGUUAAUACCCCGCUGUUCUGACGGUACCCAAAGAAUAAGCACCGGCUAACUUCGUG